rnacentral:rRNA from 1 species
CGCGGUGGUCCCACCUGACCCCAUGCCGAACUCAGAAGUGAAACGCCGUAGCGCCGAUGGUAGUGUGGGGUUUCCCCAUGCGAGAGUAGGGAACUGCCAGGCA